rnacentral:rRNA from 1 species
AUUAAAAACCAAUGCCCUUCGGGGCUCUCUGGUGAUUCAUAAUAACUUCUCGAAUCGCACGGCCUUGCGCCGGCGAUGGUUCAUUCAAAUUUCUGCCCUAUCAACUUUCGACGGCUGGGUCUUGGCCAGCCGUGGUGACAACGGGUAACGGAGGGUUAGGGCUCGACCCCGGAGAAGGAGCCUGAGAAACGGCUACUACAUCCAAGGAAGGCAGCAGGCGCGCAAAUUACCCAAUCCCGACACGGGGAGGUAGUGACAAUAAAUACUGAUACAGGGCUCUUUCGGGUCUUGUAAUUGGAAUGAGUACAAUUUAAAUCCCUUAACGAGGAACAAUUGGAGGGCAAGUCUGGUGCCAGCAGCCGCGGUAAUUCCAGCUCCAAUAGCGUAUACUAAAGUUGUUGAGGUUAAAAAGCUCGUAGUUGAACCUUGGGCCUAGCCGGCCGGUCCGCCUCACCGCGUGCACUGGCUCGGCUGGGUCUUUCCUUCUGGAGAACCGCAUGCCCUUCACUGGGUGUGCC